ACCAAAUACUGCAUAUCACCACCAAUUUGCUUAGGAGUUUCAAUAAAUGAAACACUAGGUGAGUCACCACUAACAUCACAAACUGCAAUUUCUCCAGAUUUAUGAACAGCAUAGAACAAUCCUUCAAAAUAGAUAACAUCCUCAUCGUAAAACCGCGCAUCAUCAAUAAAUUUCCAUGAAUGUUCUCCAUUUUUGCAGUAAGCAAGCUCA
rnacentral:misc_RNA from 1 species